GCCGUGGUGGUGUAGUGGUAGCAUACCUGGUGUUAAGUUUGGGCACGUGAGCAUUCCUUUCCAUACAAGCGUGGUCCCGAUGAACACAGGUGGUCGCAGGUUCGAAUCCUGCCCAUGGUG
rfam:Aureobasidium pullulans var. pullulans EXF-150 unplaced genomic scaffold scaffold_17, whole genome shotgun sequence.